GGCCCCGUAGCUCAGGGGAUAGAGCAGCAGCCUUCUAAGCUGUGGGUCGCACGUUCGAAUCGUGCCGGGGUCGCCA
rnacentral:tRNA from 1 species